rnacentral:rRNA from 1 species
GUACUCCUACGGGAGGCAGCAGUAGGGAAUCUUCCACAAUGGACGAAAGUCUGAUGGAGCAACGCCGCGUGAGUGAAGAAGGGUUUCGGCUCGUAAGGCUCUGUUGGUAGUGAAGAAAGAUAGAGGUAGUAACUGGCCUUUAUUUGACGGUAAUUACUUAGAAAGUCACGGCUAACUACGUGCCAGCAGCCGCGGUAAUACGUAGGUGGCAAGCGUUGUCCGGAUUUAUUGGGCGUAAAGCGAAUGCAGGCGGUUCAAUAAGUCU